CACGUAGGGGGCAAGCGUUGUCCGGAUUUAUUGGGCGUAAAGAGCUCGUAGGCGGUUCGGUAAGUCGGGUGUGAAACCUCCAGGCUCAACCUGGAGACGCCACCCGAUACUGCUGUGACUAGAGUCCAGUAGGGGAGCGUGGAAUUCCUGGUGUAGCGGUGAAAUGCGCAGAUAUCAGGAGGAACACCAGUGGCGAAGGCGGCGCUCUGGGCUGGAACUGACGCUGAGGAGCGAAAGCGUGGGGAGCGAACAGG
rnacentral:rRNA from 2 species